GAAAAUUACAAAGCAAAAGUUAUUUCUAUCAGUCAAAACAAACAGACAUACUGUAUUGGCUCAUCUUUCUAAUUGGUCAAAGAUGUUAGCAGGAAAGGAGUGUUAACAAAAAGUGUUGAGAACUAAAAUAUUGCCCAGAAAAAAUAAUAUUGGUUAUAAAACAAAUAUCAUUUGCCAAGGACAGCAGAGUAUAGAGGAGACAGGUGAGAGCAGUAUUUCUAAUCAGGAUGAGGGCUCAGAGUGUGAAUUCAUGAACUCAAACAUCAUACAACACUCAACGGAGAGAAUAAAACCCUCAAACAGCCCAUCCCACAUGGUUUACCACUGAUACAGUUUCUCUCCAUGACCAAACUCUGUUCAGGCUCCACUGAGUUCUUUUUCAACCGAACCUUGACGUUUGGACUUGGUGUUUGUCUCUGCAUUGUCCAAUUUUAGCAAGAAUCUUGGUAAGCUGGUAAGAAUGGUGAGAUUCCCCAUUCUUCAUACUUGAUCAUCCUUGAUAUCUAACUGGCUUCUUCCUUAUCCACCCAUCGUCCAGCUGACGUCUGAUCACCCUGGCCUGCCUUCAGUACGAAUCUUGUUAGGUAAGGUUUGAUAGAAUCCCAUCCCUCACCACUAUGUUUCCUCUUAAUGAUUUUCCAUCCUCUGACCCCCAACCUGUUCCUUGACUAUAAAUUCCCACUUGCCCGUGUUGUAUUCUGAAUUGAGCCUAAUCUGUCUCCCCCACUGCAAGACCACACUGCAGUGGCCUUAUUCCUAUCCCAAUAAUCCCUGCUGAAAUAAAGUUUUCCUUAUCGUUUUUUUUUGUUUUUUUUUUUUGAGACAGAGUCUCACUCUGUUGCCCAGGCUGGAGUGCAGUGGCACAAUCUAGGCUCACUGCAACCUUCACCGCCUAGGUUCACCUCCCAGGUUUAAGUGAUUCUCCUUCACCUCCCAGGUUUAAGUGAUUCUCCUGCCUCAGCCUCCCAAGUAGCUGGGACUACACACAUGCACCACAGCGUCCAGCUAAUUUUUGUAUUUUUAGUAGAGUUAGGGCUUCAUCAUGUUGGGCUGGUCUAGAACUCCUGACCACAAGUGAUCCACCCGCCCCAGCCUCCCAAAGUGUUGGGAAUACAGGCGUGAAUCACUGUAACCGGCUCCUUAUCUUGUCUUUAACAAGUGUCAUUAAAUGAUUUUUUUUUUCUUUAGCAACAUGAGCUACCCUCACUUUUAACCUGUAGGAGCACCUCUACAAGUCUGUUUACCUUCUGUGAGCACUGGUAACCCAUACACAUUUGUCAUCAUGGGGUUCUUUUUCCUGUAAGCCAAGACUCGGAGAAAAACGUCACAUCCCUUCAAAAUCACACCCCCUGUUGUUCCCAAUUUCCUCUAUUUGUCAAUGUUUUCUAGCAUUGGGAGAAGAAAUAAAUAAACUUCUAAAGAGGCAUAAAUGGGUUUGUCAAAGUGGAAAUUAUUAAGAAUAUUUAAAACUGUAACCCAACACAUGGAACACAGAAAGUCUGAGGGUCUAAAGGAAAAGUGUCCCAAAGGCACACAAGUGUGGAGGACAUGUCUGUGUCCAGCCCUUACAUAAAUCUGUGGGAAUACUACUUUUCUGAAGAAGCAGCCAAUAUAUUUGAACAGUAGUCUUUCUUCUAACUACUAGACAAAGAAAUGUGUCUCUGGAGGUAUAUUUUAGUUGACGUUCUGUCCCUCUUUGUUUUACAUUUUGAGUCAGUCCAUUUGAAGCAGGGCCUAUUGUGAGCCUGUUUACUUCCAUUUAUUUUUCUUGAGGUAGCACACAGAGGAGUAAAAUGGCAUUUCAGCCUUUUUGAGGGGCUACUUAUGCUAAGUUUCCUAUCUGAGACAGUAAGUGCUGCAACUAUUCUUUACAACUGUGUUUUCUUAUUCUCUUACAUAUGGAACCCCAAGAAGAGUUGAGGAAAGCUAUGGCUCUUAUUUCCUGGAAAAAAAAUGGAUAUAAAAUAUUGAAAACAAUUUUUGCAGUAUCAUUUUUUCCUUGAAGUCCAUCCAAGAAGAGCCCUGGUCCAUGGGCAAGAGGUUGAGUGUCCCAGCUCUAUAAAGACUUAUUUUCUAACUGCUGUCUUUUAUGUCUUUUAUUUAUGCUUCUCUUCUCCAGAUCAAGUCAAGACACUGCACUUCAGUAACUGAUAUGAUGAAAAACUCAGCAGGUUUCCAAAUGCGUCAUAAAAUAUUAUUGGGUCAGGGACCAUGCAGGCUACCAGAUGGUUGAGAAUGAUUUAUUUCCUUGACUUCAGACUACUGAAGAAUGAUUGCAGGAAAAAAGCCAGUUUUUAUCUCUGAGCUUACAGAAUAUGAAAGAUAAGAGAGACCUUGCGGUUCAUCUAGUCUGGAUUCAUUCUUAAUUUAAAAACCCAUUCUACACUACCAAUGACAUGGUUAUCUGACCUUGACUUCAAUAUUUUUAGUGAUGAGACACUCAUUAUUUUACAAGAUAACCUGUCUCACAAUUGGAUGGAUUUUGAUGAGCAAGGUCUUCCUUCUAUUGAUUCAAAAUUUCCUUCCUGUAACUUCUGGCCCUUGGAGCAACAACGUGUAAGUCUAGUUCCUGUUCUGAAUUAUGAACUUUGAAAUAUUUGAACACAUCUCAACUAUCUCCCUUCAGUGCUCUCAACUUCUGAAUAAACAUCCCAAAUACCUCCAGCUGUUCCUCACUUAUUUCUCCUUUUGGAACCCUCAUCUUCCUACUGAAUGAUCUCUGGACACACCGUAAUUAGGAAAC
rnacentral:lncRNA from 1 species